UGCCAAGUUACAGUACUUAGUAUUUUUCCAUGUUUUAGAGUGUACUGUUUUCUGUUUUCUUUUCAGUUUCAAAUUUGAAAAUAUUGCCCUAUGAAGGAAAUUGUUUGGUAGCCAGAAUGAUUUGUGCUGCCACUAUACUUUGGUUAGCCACUGACAGCUUAUUCAAAUCUUCAUAUUUUCAGCUAUAAAUUUUCUCCUAAGAGCCUCUCCAAGAAGAAAUCUAGACCUUUGUGAUAAUUUCAUUUUAUUCAGUAUUUAAACAUCAUCAUGAGGUAGGAAAUUAUAAAGAAUUUUUUUAAGAAUAGUAAAAAUCAUGCUUUAUGGAGAGUUUAAAUAAUUCAAGUGCUAUAUUCUAUAUAUAUUCAAAUUGUGUUGCUUAGCAGUGUCUUCAGGAACACUCAUUGGAUUAGAAAGUACCACAGCAUUGGCUCGUUGCUUAUUGAAAGAAAUGAUCUUUGAAAGAUCAACCUUGUCAUCAUUUCAGUAAAGCUGGACCCUUAGAAGUCAGCUGUGUGUAUGGAGGGCUGGUUGUUCUCUUCCAUGCAUAGGACCCCAGCUUAGUACCAGGGUCCUGGAAGUCAAGGAAAGAGGUUGUAGUAUUAGGAGAUAUGCCUUUCACCACCACCCCAGCAGUACAGGGGAUGGAACCCUUUGCCUUUACAGUGAGCUAUAUCCCUGGCCCUUUGUUUUAUUAUCAGAGAGGUUCUUGAUACUCUGUUACCCAUGCUGGGCUUCAGUUUACAAUCCUACCAGUCAGCACCCAGAGUGCUGAGAUUACAGGUAUGUGUCGCUAUGCCCAGCUGUAAUUGUCAUCUUUCAAUACUGAUUUCUCUCUA
rnacentral:lncRNA from 1 species